CUGAGAUCAACUGGUAAACAGUAUGACUAUGAGUCAAUCAUUUUACCCCAUAAAUAGUAAACAGCCCAAGAGCCUUUUGAGCUUUCCUGCAUAGGAGUGGGCUGUGUGACAGGACCUCCCCUUGAGUAGGAACACCUCUCAAGCAAGCUGAGACUUGCUUGCUGUGACUGAUCCUUGAUGGGUGCCUAGAAUGACUGAACUUUUAGCAGUCAGCCUGGACUCAGAAGAGGAGAAAGACAGCUGCAUUUCAAGAUGCAAACAUGGCAACAUUACACUUCUGGAGCAUCACUAAAACCAAGUACAACAUCCCUGAAAAGUGAAACAUGGUCAGGAAGGAGCAACUGUCAGUUAACUUCAGGACAAAAGGAUUACACCAUGGUAAGUAUCUCUCAAAUAUCUUUUGUUUCUCUUAAGAAAACUUGUUAAUUUAGCAAGACAGAAUUGAGAACUAAGAUUCUAAUGAUGAUCUGUUGCAUAUGAAAAUGUUAGUAAAAUGGAAAAGUGUUUGAACUUUCUCUUUGGUGAACAUACACCUUACCAUGAGCUUUGGAAGCAAUAAAGCUAUGAUUUAUUUAUUGGUAGUGACA
rnacentral:lncRNA from 1 species